rnacentral:rRNA from 1 species
UAGGGAAUCUUCCGCAAUGGACGCAAGUCUGACGGAGCAACGCCGCGUGAGUGAAGAAGGAUUUCGGUUCGUAAAACUCUGUUGUUAGAGAAGAACAGCGCAUAGAGUAACUGUUAUGCGUGUGACGGUAUCUAACCAGAAAGCCACGGCUAACUACGUGCCAGCAGCCGCGGUAAUACGUAGGUCCCGAGCGUUGUCCGGAUUUAUUGGGCGUAAAGCGAGCGCAGGCGGUUAGAUAAGUCUGAAGUUAAAGGCAGUGGCUCAACCAUUGUAGGCUUUGGAAACUGUUUAACUUGAGUGCAGAAGGGGAGAGUGGAAUUCCAUGUGUAGCGGUGAAAUGCGUAGAUAUAUGGAGGAACACCGGUGGCGAAAGCGGCUCUCUGGUCUGUAACUGACGCUGAGGCUCGAAAGCGUGGGGAGCGAACAGG